rnacentral:lncRNA from 1 species
GUUUUUUUAAGACAUGAUUCUCUUGACUUUUAAUCACAGGAUUGUUUCUAGAUUUUAUUGUUUCACAUUUGUCAAAAACAAAAAAUUAAUCUAUAAAAAAGAAAGACACCAACCUGAGAAUGGCAAAUGUCUUGGUGGUGGAGAAUCUCAGCCCAUUCUAGACCAGGCAAAGCAGAAAUUUCAGUAUUUCUCUUGGAAAACACAUGGAUUCUGGCACCUGGAAUUUAAAUAAUUGUUUGUCUCCUUUUCUUAUCAGUUAUCCCCCCUCCAUGAAACCAUCUCAAACUAUGCUAUUGAACAAGUGUUAAACCAUAUUAUCUCGGAUUCAGAAUUCGUCUAAUAGACCUGGUAAUGAAUAUGAGAAAAUGCCAAACUGCCAAGAACAAGAAGGAUCCUAAACUUUUACUUGCUUUUUAAUUGUUGUUUGCAUUGAAGCUUGUCAGUUUAAUGUGCUUCUUUUAUACCAUUAUGUGAUCUUUGAGGAUGUG